AUGAGUAUGCUCAGGCUUCAGAAGAGGGUUGCCUCCAGUGUCCCCCACUGUGGCAAAAAGAAGGUCUAGUUGAAUCCCAAUGAGACCAAUGAAAUCACCAAUGCCAACUCUCAUCAGCAGAUCCAGAAGCUGAUCAAAGAUGGGCUGAUCAUCUGCAAGCCUGUGACUGUCUAUUCUCAGGCUCAAUACAGGAAAAGCACUUUGGCUCACGGGAAGAGCAGGCAUAUGGCCAUAGGGAAGCAAAAGGGUACAGUCAAUGCCCAAAUGACCUGGAUAAGGAGGGUGCGGAUUCUGUGCAGGCUGCAGGAGACACCAUGAACCUAAGACUGACAGCCACAUGUAUCACAGCCUGUACCUGAAGGUGAAGAGGAAUGUGUUUAAAACAAGCAGAUUCUCAUGAAACACAUUUACAAGCUGAAGGCAGACAAGGCCCACAGCUGAGGCCCACAGGGCUGAGACCAAAGAAGCACGCAAGCUUCUGAGGAGCUCCUCCAUGCCAAAAAGGAGAUCACAAAGACUCCAUCCAAGAAGGAAGAGACCAAGAAGUGA